GACUCCUGAAGGGAUGAGCUGGGCUGGAGGAUGCAUGGCAUCAUCGCGGGCAACAGGGACACUUUGUUAUACAGUAUGAGGUGACUGAGGAGCUGAACAGACAUAUCCUGCAGUAUGACAUUCAGCUGCUACUACUAGGAAGUGAAAACGCUGAUUUUCUACUAAGUGAGAUGUGAAAUAACAACUAAUCCAUAGAAGAAGCAAUUCUGUUCAAACAGAUUUGUACACAUAGUAACAUUUAGGGUAAAGUGGUUCUAAACAACAUAGCCCUACACUGUGUGUGUUUGUAAAAACAGCCCUGCUCAGAAGUCUGGAGCACACACCCUCUACAGCUGACUCUGACAGCUUCUCUUGAACACACACACACACACACACACACACACACACACACACACACACACACACACACACACACACACACACACACACACACACACACACACACACACACACACACACACACACACACACAUUUGAAUACCCUCAUAGGAAGACUUGCUGUAGUCAAAUUGAAUCAUCACUCUCAGUGAUACCACCAUGGGAUGCUCAGGGCUGUUGAUUUUGGGCUUUGUCCUAAAUAUGUCUCACUGCUUGGACAUGCUGGAUAUGGAGGAGGACAUGGAGAUUGAUCGUAACGUCACUGGGAUCCUUGGAGAGGACAUCUUCCUCCGCUGUCAGUACCUGGGACAGAAUGACAUCACAGACGCCUCAUGGAAACGCCCAGACUCUAGAAUGAAGCGAUCGAUGAAGAAAUUAACAGGCUACAAGAACAACAAGGCUUUCAGCAAAGACCCAGACUUCUCCACCCCAGCCUCUCCCACCAAUCUGACUGUGAAGAUGAGGGUGUCUACUCUGGAGGCUCAGGGGGAGUACACAUGCGUGUUUGCCACUGAUGAAGAGGAGAUCACUAACAGCAUGUUUCUCACUGUCCUGGCUCGACCUGAUAUCCACACAGAGGUGACAGAGGACACAGACAACGCUACCCACUACCAGUCAGUCACAUGCUCAGCUACCAAUGGUAAACCUGUGGCUCUGAUUCGCUGGGAGAUCAACGGCAGUCCUCCUACUGACAACUCCUCUGUGGGGAUGAGGAACACCAGUUAUACCAAUGGCACUGCCACUGUGACCAGCAUUCUCCGCUUCCCCACCCACCUACAGGACCAGGACAGGGUGACCUGUGUGGUCCAGCACCCAACCCUGCCUGACCCCACCACACAUGUCACAGUGGGGGUGGAGACCUUCAUGGCUCCCAAUGUGACCAUUGAGACAUACCUGGUUCUAGAGGACGGGGAGGAGUUCUGGGUGGUCACCUGUGGUGCAGCUGGAGGGCGACCCCGAGCUGACAUCACCCUGGUGCUGCUCAAUCGGGAUGCCAGUUCCAUGCUACAGAAGGAGGUUGUCAUGGAUGCAGCAGACAAAUUAGUCAGGUCAUACCGCUUCCCAGCUGAGCUUCAUGAAGGGGAAAACAUCACCUGUCUGUUUGACCACCCCAAGUUCCCACACAGAGAGCUACGGACCACCACUUUGCCGGCAUUCUAUCUGUCUGCUGUUCGGCUGCUGAACCCAGGGUUGGCAGACCGCAGCAACAAGAGUCAGGCUGUAGAGUCAGUGGUUCUGGAGGAAGGACAGAGCAAAACCACCAUCGGGCUAAAGGUCGUUGGGGAUGUACCACGUUACGGUAUCGUAUGCACCAAAGAAGAGCAGUCUCUCCCUGAGGGUGUGGAGGUGAUUGGCAGUGCUCUAACCCUGCAGGGUCCUGUGGAGCUCUACCAUGCAGGGCUGUAUGAGUGUGAGGCCUCCUACUACAGCCACAGGGCAUCUGUACUGCUGGACAUUACCGUUAACCCACAAGUCAAGCAGUCUGUGACUGUUCCUCCCAGCAUAAGGGUUGAUGUCCAGGACAGACUGGGUAACAGGUUCAUUGAGUGCCUGGCUGCAGACUCUGUCCCCAUUGCCAAUGUGUCCUGGGUUCUACCUGAGGGUGUGUCUGGGCCCUCCUGGUCCAGUCUCACAUCCCAUAAUGGAACCCACUCUGUCAGCAGUGUGUUAGUCCUGCCUGCCUGCUCAGCCCAGGAGCUCAAUAUGGAGUGUGUGAUAGAUCAUUCUGUGUUUGUGUUGCCAGAGAGAAGACAGAUAACACUCCCUGUGUGUGCUCCUCCUAACAUCACCAUCCAGUCCAGCUCUGAGUGGGAGGAAGAUGUAGCAUACACACUGGUGCAGUGCACUGUGGACAGUGUUGGACCUGCUGCCACUAUCUCCUGGAGUCUUGGAGACAGGGACAGUGACAAUAGUACCAGUCAGCUUAAAGAGGGGCAGGAGCAGGAUCAGGGGCAGCCUGAGCACCAUGCCAAUGGCUCUGUGACGGUCUGUAGUGUGUUGAGGCUCCCCACUUCCAAGUUCUCUGGUCAGAAUGUCACCUGUGUGGUGGAUCAGCUGGGUCUUGAAAGGCCAGAGAGAAGAGGGAUACUGCUGCGUGGAUUGGAGUCCCCUGUGAUGCGUGUUUUUGUUGCGAGGCAGAGCAGAUCUCUGUGGCUGGCUGUGUGUGAGUACAGAGGGGACGGGAUCAGAGCACACCUCUCCUGGGUUCUACCUGACAACACCACAGGCCACAUCUCCUUCCGCUCUGGGUAUGAAGGUGUGAGAGUGCUAACCAACCUCACCUAUGAGUUCCCACUGGCCCUCCACGAGGGACAGGACCUGACUUGCCUCUUUCAAAAUCACCAUGGACUUAAGGAGAGGAGGACAGUCCAUGUCCCCAGAUACUACAUAUCAUCUGUCAGACUACUGAACCAAACCACUCCCCUGUACAAACAUUAUGGAGAUGAGUCCGUCAUACACCGAAUGUCUCUAAAGGAGAAUUUCCAAAACCAGAGGAUCCUGCUCAAAGUCUAUGGCAGUGUACCAACUUACAACCUCACCUGUCACAGAAAUGAUGGCUCAUUGGUCCAGAUGGAUGGCGGAGCUCUGUUGUUCCAAUCAAAGGUCACGGACCAGGAUGCGGGCCUCUACACCUGCCACGCCUCUUUCUACCACCAUAAGGCCUCAGUCCUCAUUCAAGUGGAGGUCACCAGUGAAGAUAAACAGCUCAUGAUGGUCUUCAUCGUCUGCUUCUCCUCAGCUGCGGCCAUCUCGAUCCUACUCAUUGUCACUUUGUGUGUUUUCUGCAAAAUAAAUGGAGGAGACCGCCCAGCAUCGAAGAAGCGAGAGUCGCUGGCGCCCCUAACCUCUCUGACCCAGGACCUGUGCUCUCCAGAGUUGAGGAAGGGGAAGGCAGCAGUGACAGUACCAGGAGGAGGAGGCCAGGAGUACAACCAGCUGCUCAGCUACUCUAUUGUCAUUGAUGCCAGAUCCACUGUGUAA
ensembl:lncRNA